AACAAACGCUGGCGGCGUGCCUAACACAUGCAAGUCGAACGCGAAAGGGACUUCGGUCCUGAGUAAAGUGGCGCACGGGUGAGUAACGCGUGGGUAAUUUGUCUGAGAGUUCAGGAUAAUUCGCUGAAAGGCGGAGUAACACUGGAUGUGGAUAUUGGCUGGGAACGGCUGAUAUCUAAAGCCGGGGACCGCAAGGCCUGGUGCUCUUAGGUAAGCCCGCGACCUAUCAGCUAGUUGGUGAGGUAAGAGCCCACCAAGGCGGAGACGGGUAGCUGGUCUGAGAGGACGACCAGCCACACUGGAACUGAGACACGGUCCAGACACCUACGGGUGGCAGCAGUCGAGAAUUUUUCUCAAUGGGGGAAACCCUGAAGGAGCGACGCCGCGUGGGGGAUGAAGGGCUUCGGCUCGUAAACCCCUGUCAUUUGUGAGCAAGUGUUAUUGUUUAAGAGAUGAUGACAUUGAUAGUAGCAAAGAGGAAGGGACGGCUAACUCU
rnacentral:rRNA from 1 species